rnacentral:rRNA from 1 species
GGUUGCGAUCAUACCAGCACUAAUGCACCGGAUCCCAUCAGAACUCCGAAGUUAAGCGCGCUUGGGCGAGAGUAGUACUAGGAUGGGUGACCUCCUGGGAAGUCCUCGUGUUGCAACCC